GACGAACGCUGGCGGCGUGCCUAAUACAUGCAAGUCGAACGAGAGCGACCGGUGCUUGCACUGGUCAAUCUAGUGGCGAACGGGUGAGUAACACGUGGGUAACCUGCCCAUCAGAGGGGGAUAACAUCCGGAAACGGAUGCUAAAACCGCAUAGGUCUUCGAGCCGCAUGGCUUGAAGAGGAAAAGAGGCGCAAGCUUCUGCUGAUGGAUGGACCCGCGGUGCAUUAGCUAGUUGGUGAGGUAACGGCUCACCAAGGUCGUGAUGCAUAGCCGACCUGAGAGGGUGAUCGGCCACAUUGGGACUGAGACACGGCCCAAACUCCUACGGGAGGCAGCAGUAGGGAAUCUUCCGCAAUGGACGCAAGUCUGACGGAGCAACGCCGCGUGAGUGAAGAAGGUUUUCGGAUCGUAAAACUCUGUUGUUAGAGAAGAACAAGUGCUAGAGUAACUGUUAGCGCCUUGACGGUAUCUAACCAGAAAGCCACGGCUAACUACGUG
rnacentral:rRNA from 1 species